rnacentral:lncRNA from 1 species
AUUAACCACGUACCCAUUCAUUUUCACUCCCUUCUCUCUCUCUCCCCUUUGCGAAACCAGUAGCCACCAUCUCCACCUUCUGUCUUCAUCAAUCUUUUAAUUAUUCAAUCAAUAACCACGCUAAAGAACCGACAACCAUAACGAAGAGUCGAUACUGGAGAUCAAUUUCUGAUUUGGUUUCGAAGUUCAGCCGCGCGCAGAGAGAAAGAGAGAGCAAGAGCUACUGGCCUACUGAGCGACAAAGAGAGAGAGCGACAGCUACUGAGCGAGAGAGAGAGAGAGAGGAGAGACUGAGAAGAGACCAGCAACGGAAAGGAAACGCCCAGCUAGCCGCCCAGCCGUCUAGGCCGCCUGGACGCCCGCCUAGGCCGCCUAGGCUCCCGCCUAAAACCCAAACGCCCAGAAGCUCCGAUUAUGCAUUCCUCGAGGCGGAGAGGAGCCGCCCAACGCCUAGGCGCCGCCUAGACGGCCUGGGCGGCCGAG